rnacentral:rRNA from 1 species
AUUGAACGCUGGCGGAAGGCCUAACACAUGCAAGUCGAACGAGUGGCGGACGGGUGAGUAAUGUCUGGGAAACUGCCUGAUGGAGGGGGAUACCUACUGGAAACGGUAGCUAAUACCGCAUACCAUAAGAUGUGACCAGAUGGGAUUAGCUUGUUGGUGGGGUAACGGAUCACCAAGGCGACGAUCCCUAGCUGGUCUGAGAGGAUGACCAGCCACACGGGAACUGAGACACGGUCCAGACUCCUACGGUAGGCAGCAGUGGGGAAUAUUGCACAAGGGGCGCAAGCCUGAUGCAGCCAUGCCGCGUAUAUGAAGAAGGCCUUCGGGUUGUAAAGUACUUUCAGCUGGGAGGCGUGACCCGCAGAAGAAGCACCGGCUAACUCCGUGCCAGCAGCCGCGGUAAUAC